CUUUUAUAAGCCUCGCAUGUCCGUGUCGGACUCGUGUCCGAUGUGGACAUUUCUUGGAUGCGCGUUCAAUGCCGAUCCCUAGCGCAUAAAAUUAAAAAAUAAUUAUACAUAUUUUUAUUUUAUUUUUUUAUGCAUAUAAAAUAUAAGAUGAUAAAUGUUUUAGCUUUUUGAUGAAUGUAUACAAAUUUUUUGUGGACAAUAUAAAUAAAUAAUGCAUGAUGGAGAUUUUUUUAAAAAAAUGUAUGAACUAUCAAAGAAAUUUUACUAAUUUUUAUUCGUAUGAAAAAUAUUACAAUAAAUAUAUAUUAUUAUAUUAAUAAUAUUAUAUUUUAUUAGAGAUAUCUAUGUGGAUUCUAUGUCCUAAUUUUUUGAAAGCUACCAAGUCGAUGCUGUGUACAAGUCGUGUCAUGUCCUACGUCCCGUAUCAAUAUCGGUAAUGUCUAGAUGCCUAGCUAGUUGAUUCACACUUCAACUUCAUUUUUGAAAAAGAAAAACAUGAAAGAAGACCUCUUAUACAAAUGUUAGUAUCUCUACCACUUAUGUUGGCUAUUUAUUAUUGUGCUAACAUAGAUCCAACUUUCUGUCCUAUGGUAAUAGAUUCAGAAGAGUAAUAAGUUGAGAUGAGUGAGCCUAGUAAGUUGAGUGGAUGUGUGAUCCACAAGAGACCUAACGGCAAGAGGCCUAACAAUAAACCCGCGAGCGCCGUGGUUGAGCCCUUAAAUGCGAUGGAUGCGCCAUUUCUAUCAACAUGUAUUUUUAAAAUAAUUAAUUUUUAGAAUAGUUGGUCAACACUUACCAUCCAUAACUGAUACCAGCAGCAAAAGCCUAGCUGAUCAUCCUUUUCAUCCCGAUAUCUUUUGAGAAUCUUCUCCACGUAUACAAAUCGCCACCCAUGGCCACCGAAAUCUUCUCAAAAUAUUCCUGCCCAAAACCCCAACUAUUUGCAUUUGCCUUUCAACCUUUUGUUGUGGCCACAAGCUUUUCUGAAGCUCAAACAACAUGAUAUGAUACUAUGAUAGUGCCCCUUUAAGUGUUGGAAAUCUUCUAGUACAUAAAAUAUAAAAUGAUAUGGACCCAAAUUUAGAGCCACUCCAAGAUAUUCUUUUGCUCUUUGGGUGUUGGAAUGGGAUAAGAAACCAACUUGCUAACCCUAAAACCCCUCUUCUAUAAGACCAAAUAUUUUAUAAGCAUAUUCUUUAAUUGCUUAGAUAUAUACUUGGAUCAUAUAUAUCAUAUGCCCUAGUGAUUUGGAAACACUGAACCUAACUAGCACAAGAAUGGUAGACCCCAUCUUGAUUGCCAAAUUUGGAAACCCAUGUGGAAGGUGAAAGGGCUACACCUUUAAUAAUUAAAAAAAAGAACUGCACUUGAGGGAAUAAAAUAAAUAUCUAGCAAAAAGUUAAGUGUAAUAAUCUUGGAUAGUUACAAUUUAAAGAAUUGUUUAAUUAAUACUUGUCCCAUUAAUAUAGUUACACGACAUGGAAUUUCUUUUCCUUUUCCUUGUCUCGUUGAAUUUUUCUUCUCUCUCUCUCUCUCUCUCUCUCUCACAGAGAUAUUAUUCCUUUUUCUUUUUCUUUCUAGUGAUUUAGAAACAUUGAAUUUGUACUACCCAUCGCUAAUUAUACUUGUGAUUUGGUCGAGUUAAGUCGUUUUCUAAGACUAUACAUUGUUAUUAAUUAGACAAAAAAUACAGUAAGAAGAUGGCCUCAUGCUCACAUAGGAGCAGACCGAGUCCAUUUCGCCGAUCGAAUUCGACUAUCAAAUAUGUUAUGUAUAACAUAAGCUAGAUGAUUGAGAGAGUUCAUUAAUUAAUUCCAGUUAUGUACUUUGAUAGCUAAACAUUAACGAUUUGUUAAAACUGUGCAUUUACCUUUGCAUGGUGGAACCCAUGAAUGCAAGUUGAAAAUAGAAACACCGAACUGUACGUACGUACUUAGGCGAAAAAUAGUAAAAUACUGGUUGUUAUUGUAUGAAAAAGAUGCUUAAUUUGUGAAAAAAUAAGUAUCCAAUGCAAGCUGCGAUUUUCAUAUAUAUUGAGAUUACAACCUUAACAAAUUGUUACAAAUAUAUAUAUAUAUAUGAGUAUAUGCUAUUGAAAACAUAAAGUAGCUAGUUCGUGCUUUCGAUUUUUUAGCCCUUAGAUCAAUCUCAUUGAUCAUUUCUAACCAUUGGAUUAACAUUAUUAAUCAAUGAGGACCACUCAACCCUAAGGGACCACUCAACCCUAAGGGGACCGCUAUCAUUCCAACCGUAGAAUUUAUGAUCCAAGGACUAAAAAAUCGGAAGCACCAACUACUUUAUACUUCCGAUAGUAUAGUAGCUCUACACUAUAUAUAUUUACUAAACAGUGGAAAACUCGAUAGCACCAAAUGUUUGGUGCUAUCAAUAAUAUCACAGCCGGACUCUCUCUCUCUCUCUCUCUCUCUCUCAAUAUAUANAUUUUUAGAAUUAAAAAUUUAAAUUCAAGUUAUAAAUUUAAAUUUUAAAAAUAAAAUAGGGUGGAAACAACUGUUCCUACUCUUAUUCCUACGUAAGGAAUAGGAUUAUUGUCCCACCCCUUUUUUUUGUUUGUUUGUUUAGGUCCCCCUCUUUAUCUCUCAAUCAAACACUAACCUAGAAUAUUUGUUUAUUCAUUUUAGAAAAAACUUUAAAAAUCUCCUUAUAGUUUCGUACUUUUUUCAUUUUAGUAUCCUGUGUUUUAAAGUGUAUUAAGUUAGUACCCUAUGGUUUCGCACUUUAGUACUCUGUGGUUUAAAGUGUAUCAAAUUAGUUCUCUGUGGUUUUAUUUUUGUAUCAAAUUAGUACCCAGUGAUUUUAUUUUUGUAUCAAGUUAGCACCCUGUGAUUUUUAAACCACAUGGUACUAAAAUAAGAAAGUGCGAAAUCACAGAGUACUAAAAUGAGAAAGUGCGAAACCACAGGUUACUAACUUGAUACACUUUAAACCACAAGGUACUAAAGUGAGAAAGUGCAAAACUACAGGGUACUAAUUUGAUACACUUUAAAUCACACGAUACUGAAGUGAGAAAGAGUGAAACCACAAGGAGGGUUUUUGAAGUUUUCUCUUUAUUUUAUAAAAUUAUUUAAAUAUAAAUAUUUAAUUUAAUAAUAAAAAAAUAAAACUAAAUUAAAAUAAACAGUCAAAGUGCAUAUAUAGUGCGAGAAAUGCUCACCCUUUUCAGUUAUUCGUUGCCCACGCAAAAACGUCGCGUCCCUUUCGGCAUGCUGGGCCCCACCAUUUUCUAAUUUUUUUGUCCCUUUUUUUAAUUAUUAAAAAAUUAUUUAAGAUUCAGUGCCUUUUUUAUUAUUUAUUUAUUUAUUUAUUUUUGGUCACCAUGGGUGGAGUAAAUAUUAGUUAUUAAUUAAUUAAAUCAUUAUUAAAAAACAAAGUGGAUAAAAACAAGCCCUCUCCGAGCCGUACAACUAAUCUGUGUAUUUUGUCUAGCCAAUAAUUUGUAAAAUAAAUUAAAUAAAAUAUAUUUGUUGGAAAAAAGAAUGUUUUCUUUGGUACGUCACUUUCUUUUUCCGCGUGCAUCCUAAAACGUAAGAAAUUUAAAAAAAAAAAUUAGGGUUUAUAUAUUUUUACCUUAGUUUCAUUAAUAAAAUUUUUCAUAUAUAUAUAUAUAUAUAUAUAUAUAUAUAUAUAUAUAUAGCUAAGCUAGAAUACUAUCGGUAGCAAAUCGGCUUCGUUGCCACCCAUUUGUUUUCGAUGAUGGAGCCUCCAAAUCGAUGAUCGACACUGUUGAAUAUGAUUUAUACCACUUGAAGUAUCUAAAAAUCAAAUUUCAUAUUUUUCCGAUAUUGUUCUCUUGUCCAUCAAGUGGGCGUAAAAAUAAACGGUUGAAAAUGAAUAUCCUCUAAAAAGUGAUGAUAGGAAUUUUGUAAUCAAGAAAGAGAGUAUAGAUUUUAUUCUAAAUCGUUUAAAAAAUUUUCUAACCAAAGUUCAAUUGAUUUGGAUAGCUUUACACCGUUAAAUGACAAAACGCUUUAUAUCUACCAUUAAAAUUAUAAAUUUUGAAACUCUUCGAUCAUUAGGUCAAUGAUGUCGAGAACAUUUGAAAUUUGAUUUUUACAUACUUCAAGUGGUAUAGAUCAUGUUCAACGGUGCCGAUCGUUAAUUUAAAGGCUCUAUCAUUGAAAACAAAUGGGUGGCAACGUUGCUAUCGAUAGCAUUCCAGCUCAACUCUCUCUCUCUCUCUAUCUCUCUCUCUCUCUCUGUAUAUAUAUAUAUAUAUAUAUAUAUAUAUAUAUAUAUAUAUAUAUAUAUAUUCUCGCUAUAUUGAGUCAAACAUGAGCAAGCUAAUCCUAUCUCGUGUACGGCUCAUUAAGAUUUCGAGCUGAAAAAUUUAGCUUAUGUUUCAGUACUUGUUUAUUAAUUAAACGAGCUACUGAUUAGCUCAAGCUCAUUUUUAAUCCGAACACGAGCUAUUUCACAAAUAGUGAGCUAAAUUGCUAGCCUUAGAGACUAGGGCAAUUAAUUAAAUUGAUCACUCCUAAUUGAUUCCUUCUCUUUUAAGUGGAAUGUUUGACCCUUUAAAAUUAUUGCAUGAUUUAUAUAUUUAUGUCAAUCAAUAAAAGAGAACCUAGCUAAGAAGUUAAUUAAGUUGAGUUGCACAACAUUGUGCUGGAUUUAAUUAAUAUAUAGAUUUCCCAUAAGCAAUCAAAUGAAUUGUUAGGUUUUUUUAGAUCUUUUAGAGUUGUGUCCCUGGCAUCGUCCUGCUAAUUAAUUGAUUGAUCACUCCACCUCACUGAAAAAAGUACACAAUGUGAACACACAUAAAUAACACAAACACCACCGAAAAUGUCAGCAAUCAAUCCAAAUCAACCUAAUCUAAUGCAAAAAAACAGUAUGGUACGUCCAGCAACUGUACAAAUCAAACUUAAAGAAAUUCUUGUACGGUCGAGAUGAUACAAGACUUUUCUUCCUCGAAUAUGUGUUGUAUUCCGUACUAUUGGUGUUUUAUGGAGAUGUAAUACCAAACUUAGGGACUUGAUAAUUGGUUGUUUAUCACUCCUUUAAUAAAGAUAAUACUAAAUCAUAUGAAAAAGAAGUGAAAAAUACUUUGAAUUCUAAUUGAUUCACAUUUCUAGGUGGUGUGGUACUCUUUGUUGGUUCUAGGAUCCCUCAUCAAGCAAGGUCCUCCCAGCAACCGUCUCUAAAGCAACUGGUAAAGAACUUAGUGGGCGGUACCCGAAAUCCAAGUUCGAAUUCUAAUUGAUUCACAUUUCUAGGUGAGUUUAUUUUUAAAUGAAAUAAACGAAACGGGUAGUGUAAUAGCUUUCUCUCAACAAAAAAAAAAAGCAAGGUCCUCCCCAACCGUUCUUCACAUCAACGGUUGGGGAGGUCCUCCCCAACCAAAUUAUUUUCAAUGAUACGGCUUUCAAAUCAACGCUCAGCUCUGAUAAACUUGAUCUAGACUAUUGAAAAUAUUUGGAAACUAAAUUUCAUAAUUUUUCGACAUCAUUUACCUAUCAAACGAGUAGUCUAAAAAUGAACGGCUAAAAAUAAAAAUCUCAUAAAAAAUGAAGAUAAAAGAUUUUAAUUUAAGAUCAGAGUUACUGAUCUUACUAUAAAUAGUGACAAAAAAAUUUUAUAAAAAUUUCAUCAGAUUGGAUUGUUUUACACCGUUAAAUUUCGUAACAUCUACUAUUAAAAUUGUCAAUUUUGAAACCUUUUGAUCAAUAGCCAAAUGAUGUCGAAAAAUUAUAAAAUUUAGUUUUCAAAUACUUUUAAUAGUGUAAAUCAAGUCUAACAAAACUGUUCGUCGAUUUGGAAGCCGCAUCAUUGAUAACAACUUGAUAGCACGAAAAUCUCCGUGCUACCGAUAGUAUAACCGUCCUAUAUAUAAUAUAUAUAUAUAUAUAUAUAUAUAUAUAUAUUAUAAUAUAUUAUAUAUAUAUAUAUAUAGUGGGCUGAUAUGCUUAUGGAAGCAUGGAGCCUCCGUACUUCCAAAAUUGUUUUCGAUGCUCGGACUUUCGAAUCGACGAUCGCUUCCGUAGAGUUGAUCUAGAGUAUUUGAAGUAUCUACAAAAUAAAUUUGUGAUUUUACGAUAUCAUUUGCUAGUGAUCAAAAGGGCUCAAAAUCAAUAAUUUUAAUGGCCUGAGUGAGCCGGUUGCAAGUUUAACGUAUAAGAAUAUCCAAAUCACAUGAAAUUUUGAUAGAAAAUUCUUAUACAUAUAAACAUGAUCAAUAACGUUUGAUCUAAAUUAAAUGUCAUAUCAAUCAAUAUUUUAUAAGAUUUUUUAUUUUAGCCGUUGAUAUUGAGCCACUUCGAUCACUAGGCAAAUGAAUAUCGAAAAAUCGCUGUAAUUUAUUUCUAUAAAUACUCCAUACUCUAGAUCAAGUCUAAUGGAGCCGAUCGUCGAUUGCGAAAGUCCGAACAUCGAAAAAAAAAGGUGGAAGCACGGAGCCCUCCGUGCUUCCAUAAGCAUCCUAGCCGCACUCUAUAAUAUAUAUAUAAAUAUAAUAUAGUCCGGCUGCUAUAUGUCGAUAACACCAAAGCCGUGUACUAUUAACCCUUUUGAUUAUUUUUAUCCUUAGAUAUACUAUUCCAACCAACCACCCAGUCAAGCCCUAAGGGCGCGCCACAUCAUCCUAACCGCACAUUUUUUAAUCAAUUAAUGGCUAAAAAACUAAUAGCACCCAAUAGCUUAUAUAUACUAUUGAUAGUAUUCCAGUAUAUAUAUAUAUAAUAUAUAUUAUAUAUAUAUAUUAAUAUAAUAUAAUAUAAUAUAUAUAUAUAUAGUGAGUACUACUAUGGCAUCGGAAGCACAGAGCCUUCCGUGCUUCCAGCUUCGUUUUCGAUGUUGCGACUUUCGAAUCGUUGAUCGCUCCGUAAAAUUGAUCUAGAGUAUUGGAGUAUCUAGAAAAUAAAUUUUAUGAUUUUACGAUAUCAUAUCCUAGUGAACGAAGGGGCUCAAAAUCAAACGGCUGAAAAUAAAAAAUCUUACAAAAUGUAAUAAUAUGACAUUAAAAUUUUAAAUCAAAUAUUGAUCUGUUUUAUAUAGUAUAAAGAAUUUUCUAUCAAAAUUUCCACGUGAUUUGGAUAUUUCUACACCGUUAAACUUGCAAACGGCCACUACGGCCAUUGAAAUUUGUUGAUUUUGAGCCUAUUCGUUCACUAGCCAAAUAUAUCGAAAAAUAAUAAAAAUUUAUUUUUUAGGUACUCCAAAUACUUAGAUCAAGCGUUUAACGGAGCCGAUCGACGAUUCGAAAGUCGCAACAUCGAAACGAGCUGGAAGCUCCGUGCUUCCGAUAGCAUAGUAGCCUCACUCUAUAUAUAUAGAUAGGUUUGCUAGAGAUAACUAUCAGUAGUAAACGAGCGGUUUACUAUCUAUUUGUUUUCGAUGAUAGAGCUUCCAAAUUGACGAUCGCGCUCGUUGAACAUGAUCUAUACCACUUGAAGUAUUUAGAAAUCAAAUCUUCAAAUCUUUUCGAAUAUCAUAUGCCUAAUGUUCAAAGGGUUUCAAAAUUUAUAAUUUUAACGGUCGAUAUAGAGCGUUUCGUUUAACGGCGUAAAGAUAUCCAAAUCAAUUGAAUUUUUGUUAGAAAAUUCUUUAAACCAUUUAAAACAAAAUCUAUACUCUUGAUCUGAUAAUAAGACUCCAAUCAUCAUGUUUUAAAAGAAUAUUCAUUUUCACCAUUCAUUUUGUUCACUUGAUAGAUAAAAAACAAAAUCGAAAGUGGUGAAAUUUGAUUCUAGUAGUUAAAAUGUUAUAUCAUAUUUAACCGGAGCCGAUCGUAAAUUUGGAAGCGUCUAUCAUCGAAACAAAUAGUAGUAAAACGCUCGUUUACUACUGAAGUAUUCUAGCUCAACUCUAUAUAUGAAAUUUGUGACUUUUGAUCGUAAGUAAAUGAUGUCGAAAAAUUAUGAAAUUUGAUUUCUAUAAGUUAUAUAUCAUAAUAUAUAUAUAUAUAUAGUUGAGCUGGAAUGCUAUCGGUACAAACGGCUCCGUUGCCACCCAUUUGUUUCGAUAAUGGAGCUUUCAAUCGACGAUCAGCACAUUUGAACAUGAUCUAUAUCAACUUGAAGUAUCUAGAAAUAAAAUUUCAAAUCUUUUCGACAUCAUUACCUAAUGAUCAAGAUUUCAAAAUUAGUAAUUUUAAUGGUUGAUAUGAGGGGUUUUCUCGUAAAACGGUAUAAAGCUAUCCAAAUCAAUUGAAUUUGUUAGAAUUAUUUAAACUAUUUAGAAAAGAUACUAUACUCUCCGAUCAUGAUUACAAAAUUCUAUCAUCAUUUAGAGAUAUUCAUUUCCAGCCAUUCAUAUUUUUACGCCCACUUGAUGGACAAGAAAACAAUAUCGGAAAAGUAUGAAAUUUGAUUUCUAGAUAUUUCAAGUGGUAUAGAUCAUUUUCAACGGUGCGAUCGUCGAUUUGGAGCUCCAUCAUCGAAAACAAUGUGGUCAACGGAGCCCAUUGCUACCGAUAGUAUUUCAGCUCAACUCUCUCUCGUCUCUUCUCCCAUCUCUCUUCGCUCAUCAAAUGCUCACCUCUCCUCUUCUCUCCUCUCUCUUCCGCUAAUCUCUCUCUCUCUAUAUACAAUAUAGUUAUAAUAAUAUAUAAAUAUAGUGCGCUAGGAUGCUUAUGGAAGCAUGGAGGGCUCCGUGCUUCCACUUUGUUUUCGAUAUUCAGACUUUCGAAUCGACGAUCGGCUCCAUUAACUUGAUCUAGAGUAUUUGAAGUAUAAUAGAAAAUAAAUUUAGCAAUUUUCGAUAUCAUUUGCCUAGUGAUCGAAGUGCUCAAAAUCAAACGGCUGAAAAUAAAAAAUCUUACAAAAUUUGAUGAUAUGACAUUAAAAUUUUAGAUCAAAAUUACCUUGACUCUUGUUUAAAUGCUAUAAAGAAUUAAUCUAACCAAAACAUUCCAUGUGAUUCUAAAUAUUUCUACACCAGAUUAAAACUUGCAAAACCGGCUGAUACGGCCAUUAAAAUUAUUAAUUUUGAGCCCCUUCGAUCACUAGGCAAAUGAUAUCGAAAAAUCACAAAAUUUAUUUUCUAGAUACUUCAAAUACUCUAGAUCAACUCUAACGGAGCCGAUCGUCGAUUCGAAAGUCCGAACAUCGAAAACAAAUUGGAAGCACAGAGGGCUCCGUGCUUCCAUAAGCAUACUAGCCCACAAAUUGAAAGCACAGAAGGCUCCGUGCUUCCAUAAGCAUACUAACCAUCUCUCUCUCUCUCUCUCUCUAUAUAUAUAUAUAUAAUUUUGCGUUUGCAGCAAUUAUUUUUUUCAUACCAUACAAGUAUCAUAUUGGACAGAUAAGAUGAACACGAUAAUUCAUUUGAUAUAUCAAACAUAUAAAAUAAAUUAUUAUGUCCCUUUUGACUUAAUCCGUAAACUGCUAUAAGUAAAAAGAAUAUGAUAAUCUAUAGCCUGUUAUGGUAAAAAAAGCACGAUAAUUUAUUUACCUGCUGAAUUUAACCCGAAAUUUAAAUGUGGUGUUUGUGUGACAAAAAGACAAGCCUUCUGGCAUAUAUAAAUUUGCAAAAAAAAAAAAAAAAAAAAAAAAAAUCUAAAUACAAAAGAAGAAGAAGAAGCUCCUUAAUUGAUUACACCCUUCGUAUCACAAGUUCCCCCACAAUUUUUAAAGUUUAAAAUUCCCAAUUAAUUCCCAUUAGACAAAGAUCACUCUCGUAAUUUCCACCUGAUGGUGAGGGGCAUAAUUGUCACUAAAUUGCCAUCCACCGCAACCAGGGGGUGUUGGCGCGGCACUGACCCCCGCCCCCGCCCCUCGCCGGACUCGGGAGCCGCACCCGCGAAAAACCGCGUUGCGUGGACCGGGCGUUGCGAGUGCACAGUCUAGGUGUGCGCGCGCCACGUGGCCGUCACGUGCGCUCCCCUCGUGGACCCCGACAGGAUACCGCCACGCCACCUCCACGUGGCGCCCUCUCGGCCCCCUGUUGGAAUUCCCCGUUCCGUUAUGUGGCGCAUCCUCCCGCGGCGGCGCCCGUUUCCCGGUAAAAAAAAUCUUUCGGUUAAUUCUAACGGUCUCAAUAGGACCCCUCCUCAUAAUUUUACCAUAUAUAUAUUUUAUUAUUAUUAUUAUUAUUUUUGAAGUACGUAGCAGUAGUACUACUGCAUAGCUUUUCUCCCCUAUAAAACGUCCGCAGACCCCUUCUUCCUCUUCACAAACAACAUCUUCCGUUUUCCGUUUACGGUCUCAAAGUAUAGAGAGCUAAACGAACACUAUUUAAUUCGAAAAGAAAUCCAUCCAUGGGAUCAGCUGUGGAGAGUGGGUGGGUAUUAACCCUCUCCCUCGCCGCCACGUGCGGCGGCGUCGUCGCGGCCGACCCCUCUCACCUCCUCGCAGCCACCCUUCUCUUCCUGCUCGCCUACGCCGCCGCCGUCCUCCUCUACUGGGCCGUGCCCGGCGGCCCGGCCUGGGGAAAGUAUCGGCUGAGCAUGCUCCGGCGGCCUCCGGGCCAAUCGGACUUCGCGGCAAUCCCGGGGCCGAGGGGCCUCCCCGUCGUGGGCUCCAUGGGCCUCAUGACGGGCCUGGCCCACCGAAAGCUCGCGGCGGCCGCGGCGGUCUCCCGCGCCGAGCGCCUCAUGGCGUUCAGCAUCGGCAGCACCCGCGCCGUCGUCACGGCCCACCCCGACGUCGCGAGGGAGAUCCUUUCCGGCCCGGCCUUCGCCGACCGGCCCGUAAAAGAGUCGGCCUACGGGCUCAUGUUCCACCGCGCCAUCGGCUUCGCGCCAUACGGCCCCCACUGGCGCGGCCUCCGCCGCGUCGCCGCCGCCCACCUCUUCUCGCCGAAGAAAAUCGCGGCCUCCGCGGCGCAGCGCGCGGCGAUCGCAGCUCAAAUGGUGAGCGCCCUCCGACCGAACGAAACCAAAGAUGCUGACCAUAUUUUGGCGGGUCGAGAAGUUGAAGUUCGCGGGGUGCUUAAGCGGGCCUCGCUCCACAACGUGAUGUGGUCGGUGUUCGGGAGAAGGUACGAGCUCGAGCUCGGCGCCGAGUCGGAGGAGACGGAGGAGCUGAGAGUGUUAGUAGAAGAAGGGUACGAUAUCUUAGCGAAGCCCAACUGGUCGGACCACCUACCUCUGCUGUCCCGGUUCGACCCUCAAAAAAUCCGGUUCAGGUGCUCCCGGCUCGUCCCCAGGGUGAACCGGUUCGUGAACCGGAUCAUUCAGGAGCACCGAGCCGGGAGGUCGUCGCAUGCGGACGCCCCUACGGAUUUUGUCGGCGUUCUCCUUUCUCUGCAGGGAAGCGAGCGGCUCACCGAUCCCGACAUAGUCGCGGUCCUCUGGGUAAGUCCACGUAUUCAAAAACUGCCAAGGUCAAAUGCAUGGAGAACCCCUUUUUUUUUUCUUUUUUUUGUUUCGUGCGCGCGCGCGUGCGUGUUUUACCGACACUCAAGGACCUCAACUUGGUGAUCACUUUAGAAUUUAAUGAGGUGCGUCGAAUUAAUUAAAAUUUUGUCAAAUUUAUUUAUGCUUGUGUCAAAAUUUAAUAAAUCUGAGCUAAUAAUUAUUAAAAUUUAUUAAUUUUAUUUAUCUUUAAUAAAAUAAAAUAUUACAAGCUAAGAAAACGCUAGUAAUACUUUAAAAAAAAAAAAAACAUGAAGUUGAAGAGGUCUCUAUACAUAUUUUACGUGAACAAAAUUAACCAUUUUUUCAUCGAUCUGAUUACGUUUGCUAUAAAAAAUCGUGUCGUUUUUCUUUUUCUUUUUCUUUUUUUUUUUUGGCAGGAGAUGAUAUUUCGGGGUACGGACACGGUGGCAGUGUUGAUCGAGUGGGUCCUGGCCGGCUCGUGCUCGACCGGGACGUCCAGGCCCGGGUCCACGAGGAGCUGGACCGGGUCGUGGGCGGCCGGCCCGUGGCUGAGCCGGACCUCGGCUCGCUCCCCUACCUCCACGCCGUCCUCAAGGAGGUGCUCCGCCUCCACCCCCCGGGCCCACUGCUCUCGUGGGCCCGCCUCGCCACGACGGACGUCCACGUGGACGGGCGCCUCGUCCCCGCGGGGACCACCGCGAUGGUCAACAUGUGGGCCAUCACCCACGACCCGCGGGUGUGGCCCGACCCGCUGGAGUUCCGCCCGGACCGGUUCGUCGGACCGGGCGCAGCGGAGCUCCCCCUUCUUCUCGGGUCGGAUCCGCGGCUGGCCCCGUUCGGGUCGGGCAGGCGGAGCUGCCCGGGGAAGCCGUUGGCCAUGGCGACGGUCGGGUUGUGGGUGGCGACGCUGCUGCACGAGUUCGAGUUCCUGCCCCCGUCCGGCGGGACACGUGUCUGCCUCUCGGAGGUCCUGCGCCUCUCCUGUGAGAUGGCCUCCCCGCUCACCGUUAGAUUGAGGCCGCGGCGCACGUUAGCUUAAACCCGUGCAUGCAUAUCGCAUAUGUAUUUGUUGUGCUUUGGUGGUGCCUAAUUUGUAGUAUUAAUGAGCAUUUUUUUCUUUUUCUUUUUUUCCAUUUUCGAAGCUUUUAUGCAAACUCUGAGAUGUGUGAAUAUAUGGAAAGAAAAAAAUAGCGUGGACUAAUUAAUGAAUAUAUUGCAGUACAUUAAUUGUGCUUUGAGUGAUGUGUACAUGAAAAAUGCAAGCUUAGUUGGUGUUAAAGUGAUUGAUCAUCUAUAAUAAAAAAGUUAUAUUUCUAAAAUAAAAUAAAUACAGCGAGUAGUAUAUUAUCUUUCUCUCUUAAAAAAAAUUAACAAUAAAAAAGUUAUAUAUUUAGCCUAUAAGUUAAUGACAUAAGAGUAUAGGCUCUUGUGGUCUUCUAACCUGUUCCAGUGGUGAACUAGACUUCAUCGAUCUACAAUUUGCUGCUCCAUUUAAACGUGUCCUUUUGCAUUUUUAGAAUGGUAAAAUGUAUUGAUAGUCCUAACCAUUCCUUCGUCGAGAGCCAAAAAUUUAAUAGCGCCAAUGACUUAGUGCUAUUAAUAGUAUAGUAGUCUAAUUAUAUAUAGAGAGAGAGAAUUGGGCUGAAAUUCUAUUAAUAGUACUUGGACUCUUUUCCUAUCGAGUUUUCAACUCAUAAAUGAAAAAGUAUAGUGAUCCCCUAAGAUUUAGUAGUGGUCCGUCUAGGGUAGAGCGGGUGGUUGGUGAAUAGUAUGAUCCAACAGAUAAAAUUGAUUAAAGUAUAAAUUUAACGGUUAAAAAAUCGAUAGCAAAAUACUAUCAAUAGCUUCAAGCUAUUGGUGCUUUUAGGUUUUUGGCCCUUCGAUGAAAAAUUGUACGAUUAGUACGAUGUUGGCCCUCUAGGGUUGAGUGAGUUAUUGGUUUAAUAGUAUAAUUUAACGAGUGAAAAUAGUUAAAGGUUAAAUUUAACGGCAGAAAAUUUGAUAACACAAAACGCUUGGUGCUAUUGAUAGUAUCCCAGUCGGAUUCUAUAUAUAUAUAAAAUACAUCUCCUAUGCUUUCAAAAGUGUACAGACCUUCGUACCUGUAAGUUAUUUUCGAUGAUAGAAUAUCCGAUUUGACGAUCGGCUCCAUUAAACAUAAUUUACGUUAUUGAAAUUAUCUAAAAACUAAAUAUCUUAAUUUUUCGACAUCAUUUACCAAGUGAUCAAAAGAUCUUAAAAAUGACUAUUUUAACGUUCAAUGUGACACAUUUUAAGUUCAACGGUGUAAAACAAUUCAAAUUACAUGAAAUUUUAAUAAAAAAUUCUACUUAAAGAUCAAUAUUUUUUAUUUAAAAUUUGAGUCUUUUAUCACUAUUUUUUAUAAAAUUUUUAUUUUCAGCUGUUCAUUUUGAGGCUACUCGUUCACUAGGCAAAUGAAGUUCAAAAAUUAUAAAAUUUGGUUUCUAUAUAGUUCCAAUAGUAUAGAUCAUGUCUAACAGAACCAAUCGCCAAAUUGGGUGUCCCACAUCGAAAAUAAGUUGCAAGCACGAAGGUCUCCGUAAUUUCGAAAGUAUAUAUAUAUAUAUAUAUAUAUAGAGUCCGACUGGGAUACUAUAGAUAGUACCAAGGGCUUGGUGCUAUCGAAUUUUCUACCGUUAGAUUUAAUCAUUUGAUUAUUUUUAUCCGGUAGAUUAUACUAUUCAACCAACCACCCACUCAACCCUAGGAGGCCCACAUCAUCCUAACCGCACAUUUUUCAAUUUAGGGGCUAAAAAACUAAUAGCAUUAAUAACUUGGUGCUAUUGAUAGUAUUCCAACCUAGUUCUCUCUCUCUCUCUCUCUCUCUCUCUCUCUCUCUCUAUAUAUAUAUAUAUAUAUAUAACCGUCUCUUCGGUAAACGUGCGGUAAACUUGAAACUUAGUUACUUCACAUUAUAUUUCUAGCUAAGUUUACUUUUAAAAUAUAAAAUGAAGUAAGCAAUAUGCUAUCUUUCUCUCUUAAAAAAAAAAAAAAUCCUUGUGAAACAGCUGCUUUAUAUGAGAAUGGUCAGCAUAGUUAUUUUAUGGAAAAAAAAGAGAAACUGGUAAGUUAAAAGGGAUUAAGUUGCAUUAUCAUUGAGAUUAAACAAACACUCUUCAUACAUUUUUAACUCUUUUCUCCUUACAAGGUGAUGUGUGAUGAAAGCAACUAAUGAUGCGACUUUCUUUAUUUGCUUCACCAUCAACAACCAGUUUGAGUGCAUUAGCUUUUAAUUAAAAAAGGUUCAAGCUCCUUUCGUAUAUGCUUCAUUACAAUAAAAACUGGUGGGACAUCCAGAUGACCUCCAAUCAAAUGUUUAUAGUAAAAUCACUAUACAAAUUCAUUACUGACGCAGGACAGAAAGACCCGAUGAACUUUCACAUAUGGAGUUUAAGAACCCGCAUCAAAAUCAAAAUCUUCGCUUGACUACUACUUCGUAAGAGAUUGCUUACUGUCGACAGACUGCUCCGCCAAGGCAUCCUUGUGGACCAGCACUGGUCUUUUGCGCUUUAUCGACAGAAACCUGCGACCAUCUCUUCUGUAACUGUGUGGCGGGCCCAGACGCAAUUGAUACCUUCUACUCCGUGCGGCGGGCCCAGACGCAAUUGAUUGUGUCUUGGGUGACGUCCGAACUCUGUGGACAAAUACAUCUAGCAUCUCAGACGCUACAAAGAGCUCAAAAGGUCUAAUCCUUUUGGUGGCGAUCUGAUGAGUUGCCUAGACAGAACGAAACAACACUAUCUUCCGUGCGAAUCUUCCCAACGCUACACGGGGUUUCAAAUGCGUCACAACCUUGUCAAAUGAUUGGAUUAAGCUUCUCUGACACGUCAUCUUUUUGCCAACGUUUGGUCUUACCCAUGAUUGUCUCUCCACUCUUCUCCCUCCUUCUCUCUAGCUCGAUCGAUCUCUUUCCUGUUUUUUAUUUUUUAUUUUAUUUUAUUUUAUUUUAUUUUUGCUUCUUUUUUUUUCCUGCUUUGUUAAGGAGGCCCUAGCUGGUUCCACGCUGUACGCUUAGUUCAUUUUGCUUAAUAAAUGAAGCAGAUAACUCGCUACCUCGUUCUCAAAAAAAAAAAAAAAGAAAACGGGUGGGACCUUGCAGUAAUGAAGCACUAGUUAAAGACUGCAGAAAAAAUAAAAUAUUUUAGGAAUAAGAUUUAGUUAAUCUUUUAUACUGCAAUAAAAUUAUAUUAGCUUAAUUAUUAACUAAACUAAAUUAAAUUUAAAUUAAUUUAAUAAUUAAAUUAAUUUAAAUAAAAUAAUUUAAAUUGUUAUCUAUGCGACGUAAUUUUUUAUAAGAUAUUAUUAGCAAUUAAUUAAUUAUUAAUAAUAUAUGUGUAAAUAAAUGGCUGAUAACAUGGGUAUUGAAUGAUUGAAAUAAUUAGAACAUGAUAUAUAUAACAGGUAUACACAUAAGUAGAGAUUUUUAAAGAAUAUUUAAUUAAGUAAAUUUAUCACAAUAUAUGCACGAAUAAAAAAAUUAUAGAGACUCAUUAAUACUUAGAAAAAUGUAAUAAGACUAUAAAUAUAAAUAUUCAAAAAAUAAUAUAAUUAAAAUAAGGUUGGCUUAAAAAAUUGAAGAAGAGAAAGAGUGUAAGAGAAAUAUAAGGACUAUUAUUAGUAAAUGAAUUAUUUUAUAAAGUUAUAUAGGUAAAAGAAAAAUUAGAGGAAAAAGCUGUUGAAAUAAUAUAAAUAAUUAAUAAAAUAAAAAUAGAUAGGAUAGCGAAAUAAAAAUUGUUUCAUGCACCGGGUGUGUAAGUCCAUCUUAUACCGCACAAUUAUAAAAUCCAAUUAUCGAAAUUUAAACUCUAACUUUGUUUUUUUGCUUAAACUUUUAACACGGUGUAGAUCACAUCUACCGAUCAUAUUGCAUUUUUAUUUUCUAAUAUUCAUCAUCAAAAAAUAUGUUUGGUACAUAUAAUGUAUUAAUAGAUCGGGUGAAUGCAACAUUCUUUCUAGGGGAAGGAGGGAUAUCCGAUGAGUGAUCUUAUAUAUAUACACAUUAAAUUUCUAAAACCCUAUUUUAGGAAUUCAAAUCCUAUUAUUUUUUAUACUUAGACUUUUUAUAUGGUAUAUAUCACAUAUAUUAGAUUGUAUUUUAAUUUUAUUUUAAUUUCACAAUAUUAGUUAUUAAAAGUUAGGAGAAGUAUAAAUAAUAUACUGAUAGAUCAGAUAUAUUUUAAUAAUUGAGAAGAACGGUUGGGAGGAGAGGUAUCACACUAUGCUAGUCAACAAAAUAAUUUAGAAAGAACAAAAAAUAUUCUAUUGAUAUAAUCAACAAAAUGAAGGAUCUCAUUGGAUAUUUUCUUAUCGCUUUGUCCCAUCAACCUUAAAGUAAUUAGACUCAUUAAAAAGUGUUUCUUUUCUAAUUGCUUUGUCCCAUCAACCUUAAAUUGUAACUAGACUCACUGAAAAGUGGAAACACUUUUUUGAAGCAUAAGCACGCAAAAAUAUAAUGUUGGUAAAAUGAUUUGAAACUAUACCUGCAUCCUUAUCUCCAUCUAUCAAUUAAAGCAGAAAUGCUAAGGCUAUUAGUAUGCUCGCUAGUUUCAUGUUAAACAUACAGGAGCAAUUCUUCUUUGAUACAUGUUAUUAAAAUUUUGUAAUUUAUUUUACACUUAACAAUAAGAAAAAGAGCAAUGCUUCGAUCAAUACUCCAUUGUAAUCUUAGCCGUUUAUUUUUAAUCAAUAAAGGGUUAAGAUUUAUGCAUAAAAAAAGAUGACCUGCUAUUGCACAAAAAGUACCGGUCACCAAGUAUGUGAUCUAAGAAUUUUUUGGAAAAAAAAAAGCUAAUAUUAAAAAAUUAAAUAACUAAUAUUGGAAAGUUUUGCAUACUACCCUUAAAUCAUGGAGAGGAUAAAUUUUUAUUUAAAUUAUUCAUUUUUAAAGCAGAUUUUAAUAAUAAUUUAUGAUCGCAUUUGAGUCAUAAAUUUAGUAAUUUAUAAUUUAAAAUUGAUUUUCAAACAUCAAAACUUUAUGUUUAAAUAGUUAACAAAAUUUAUUUUUUAAGUAUAAUAUAAAUUAAAUCUAAAUUUAUAAUUUAAAUUUGAUCAAUAUUUUAAAAAUUUAAUGCUGUUUUUCAAUAUUGAAUUAACAAUUUCAACUUACUUUAAAAUGUAGAAAUAUUUUAUUUAAAUAAAUAAUAAAAGUUUAGAAAUCUAUUAUUUAAGUAAAUAAUAAAAGUUUAUAAAUACACUAUAACUUAAAUUACAAUUUUAAAGAUAUUAACAUUAAUUUUUGAACUUUCAUGUUAGUUUAAUAUUGAAUUGACAAUUUGAAUUAAAAUGUUUACUCGUUUAAAUAUAAAUUUUUCUUUCUAAAAUUUAAAUUUAAUUUAUACCAUUAUAAAUAUAAAGUUUAAACUCAAGUUAAAUUUUAAAUUCGAAUUUAUGAAGAUUUAUCACUUAUGAAAUUAGCCAUCAUCUAAGUUGGUAAGUAACAAAAUUAAAUUAGGAAAUGAAGAUUUGUUGGAUAUUAUCAAAUUUGGUAAUUAGCUAAUGCAUAGUUUCAAAUAUUAUCUUUAUGAUUGAUUGGUAACCUGUUGAGCAAGUUACCAUUGUGUAAAAGUCAAUCUUAAUCUUAAAAAUUUGAAUUGUCGGAUUUAAAUACGCCUGUGUAUAGAAGUAUUUCUCUAAAAAAAAAUGGGUAAAAAUAAUUAAAAAUUAUGCACAACAAUAACAACAGAUCUAGGGCACAACUAUUGAAAAAAAAAUCCACGAAAACAUUGGAAGAAAGUGUUGGGAAUCCGGUACUCGCCCCAGCUAGUACCGAAUUUUGAGAAUCCGUAACUUGCUCCGACACUAACUACUAUUGAUUCGAUACCGGAUGUUGGAAUUCUGCAACGGAAGUGCUGGAUAGAAUUUUUAUUAUAAAUUCGUCUUUUCAGCAAAAGCUGAUACAAUCAUAAAAGAUAGAAAACAACCAAACAAAAAAUAUGGAGUAAAAUAAGAUUCAUUAAAUAAAAGAAUAUUAUAUCUGACUUUUUUUCUGCAAUAGAGUAACUACAAUCUAAGCCCUCUUUUUGAAUCUCUUAUACCCUUCUCUCCUCUUCUAUAAACCCAUAGGAAGACAACUCUUUCUUUUUCUCUCUCACAUGCAUCCGUGCACUAGGCGCAUACAACUGGGCCUAGAUUUCUCCACAAUAUGGUCACCACCAUAAAAAGCUCUCUCUCAACGGUACACCACUCACCAAUUUGUAUACAUAGAGUUAUAUAUAAGACUUCACCAAGAUGUACCCAAAUCCUAUAAUAAUUAGGAUCUCUAUUUUAAAUAAUAUUUAAAUCUAUAUUUAGUUUAUCUUUAAUAAAUUUAAAUAUUUAUCCGAAUCUAAUUAGAUUUAUACUCUAAUUAAAAUUUUAAUUUUAAAUUAUUUUUAAUAAAUUUAAAUAUUAAUUCUUAUUCAAUUAAAAAAUUAACUAUAAAUCUAAUCAAAUCUUAACCGAAAGCAAUCAAAAAGGAAAGAAGCCUGUACUACAGCAAUUAUAUAAAGUACUUUUGUUAUUAUAGCUGUUGAGUUCUCUUAGUCAAAUAAAAAUUGUUUAAAGUGAAAAAAGAAAGUGGAUUCCUCACCUAAGUUUUUGACAAAGACUUAAGCCGCUGUUGAAAAAAAAAAAAAAAAAAAAAAAAAAAAAAAAAAAAAAAAAAAAACAUAAGGAUAGAAAAAGAAGAAUACAAGAAGAAUUAACACUACAACAAAAAUAGUCUAUAGCGACACUUUUAAAUAUAGAUACAUGUCAAAAAAGUGCUGCUAGCUAAAAUUACUGACACUUUUAAAAAAUGUUGCUAUAUGUGAGGUCGUUAGGUAUAUAAUGACAGUUAAAGAGUGUCGCUAUAACCUAAAAGAGUGCUGCUAAUUUACCAACACUUAUUUAAGCAUUUAGCAACCGCCGAAACUUUAUCUCGUUGGAUGCGGUGGCGGAGGAGGACGACAGGAAAGGCUCUUCGUCUAGAAUUUCAAUGAAUUGAGUGAAGAGAGAAGAAAAUAUAGUAAUUGAUUUUUCUUUUUUUUUCUUUUCUGUUUGUAAUCGGGUCAAAUGGACUGGGUGUGGUGGGUUGAGUAGAGUAAUCUUUUAUUUUUAAUUGGAUUAGGCUUUAUAUUUAGGCAUAAGUAGAUGUUUUUUUAAAUUUUAGCAUAAAUGGGACACUUACUCAAAAAUGUCCCAAACAUGUGUCCCUAUAACCUAAUUCUGUUGUAGUGUAAUUAUUCACAAAGACUAUUAUUAAUCAACUCUAAAAACUUACUAUGAUAACCGAACGCCACGUUUAUAUAUAGGGUAGCAAUCUGAAUAACCUAAAUAUGGAACAACGGAGGCGAAAUAAUUGAAUUUAGAUCCAAACUUGGCAAAAUGUAAAAAUUGCUGAAUUCGACAAAAUUUUCAGAUCCCCUUAGUUUUGUCUCAUUUUUCUAGAAACCCUAAUACUAAAUUGGCCACAUUAGUUUUAGAUGGCCAGAUGUUACAAGAUUGUCACUCAAUUAACGUACCAAAAUUACAGAAACAUAACUAUAAUUAUAUCAACUAAAGUACAAUCUCCUAAAAAUACAUGAUUCAUUUCAUGUAGACAAUUCAAAUUUUCUAUCUAAAAUUUUAAACCACUACAUUUCUUAGGUGGCAUUUACCGUUCAUCUCAUUUCUAUUGUCAUGUGACUAACAAUACUAAUUAAGACUAUUUUUGAUAUUUUUUCUAGCACAUUGAUAUGUUGAGAAUCCAUAACUCCUCCGAUAUCAACGGUUGUUGAUCCGAUACCAAUUGUUAGGAUUUCGUAACGGAAGCGUCAACUCGCGUUUUUACUAUAAAUCCAUAUUCUUAGUAAAAACUGAUACAAUCACAAAAGAGAAAAAAUCAAUUACACAAAAUAUACGGGCAAAAUAAGAUCCACUAAAUAAGAAAAGAUUACAUCUUAUUCUUCUUCUAAAUAAAGUAGUUUUAAUCUGGACUCUCUUUCUGAAUCUCUCUCAUCCUUCUCUCGUCUUCUAUAAAUCCAAAAAACUUCUCUCUCAUCUUGUGCAUUCAUGCACAAGAUAUGCCAAUGACCUCGGCCACGAAAACCGCACACGUCUUUUUGCACCUAUGUACUAGGUGCAUCUAAAAUCAUUACUAUCUUGACCAUGCUAUAUGGAUGUGGCUAAACUUUACCACCACCGUCAAAAUAAUAGCACUUAUGCUAUAUAUAUUUAUAACUUACAUAAAAAAUUACCAAAAUGCUUGUCCAAUUAGAUUUCUACUCUAAUUAAUAUUUAAAUUUUAAUUUAUUUCUAACAAAUUUAAAUAUUAAUUCUAAUCCAAUUAGAAAUCAACAACAAAUUUAAUCAAAUCCUAACAAAAACCAUAACAGUAGCUUAUCAAGCAAACACUUUGGACCAAAAAUUUACUAAAAUAUUACAUUCUUAAGCCUUUGUAGUGUCACUUCAUCAUUCAUGUUUACCUCUCUAAGAUCUUUUGUCCAUGAGUUUUUUUUUUUUUUUUUUUUUUUGAGAGAGAGAUAGGUAGCACGCUAUCCACUUUGUUUAUUUCAUUUAAAAAUAAAUUUAGCUAGAGAUGUGAAUCAACUAGAAUUCAAACUUAGAACCUCGGAUACUAACCACCAUGUCCUUUGCCACUUGUUAUUUAUUUGUAAGUCAAUGCUUCUGCUUCACGUAGUGUGCAAGUUAUAAGUUAGUUUUAUUUUUAGAAAAUUUUUGAGGAAAAAUAAAAUCAAUUGGAUGAGUAUUGUUAAUUAUAAUACUUAGCUAAGAUCAGUACUAACACACAAAAAAAGGAACAUCUGCACUAACACACAAGUCAAAGGGAAGAUUAAUCAUGUUCAUAAUGUACUAAACUGAGCUAUCUUGUUGAUUAAACUAAUGCUAAUGAUUAUACUGCAUGUGCGCCACAUAAUUAACAAUACGAAGUUAAUUUUGUCCUGUUCAACCCUUUAAUUUUUGUCUCUUGGAAGAAUUUAAAAUAAUCUGUUUUAACUUUGUUUUCGAAACAAUGAAGGCCUUCAAUGUUUUAUUUUUUACCAUAAUGGAAUUGUGCACAUAUUUAUUAAUUUCAACAUCCUUAGUUAGGAUGAAAUUCUUCGAAAUAAACUUAAUUUGUUAAACCAAAAAAUUAAUUAAAAAUAAAAGAUUCAAUCACUCGCUAAAUUUGUAAUCCAUUUAUAAUAAUUAAGGAUCAUGAACAAUAUUAAUUAUAGUAAGUUAAGACUAGUGUAAGCAAGAAUUAGUAUUUCUUAUCUCCUUUCCAUAUCACAACAACAUUUAAUUUAAAUAUUUCAGAAGUUAUUAUCUUUUCAUUGCUUAAACUAUUUGUCCCACUUUACUUUGAAAACGUUCUACUUAGUGCUCUCCCACUGCUUUACACGAAACACUUACGCAUGCAGGAUAAGAAUAAGAAGAACAUAUAUAGAAUUCGCAAAUAAUGAAUGAUAAAGUUGAAACACAACAUCAUGUUCGCAUCUUUGAAGACUUUGUUAAUUGCAACCCUAAAAUUUCUCUCCGUGUCGCGUUCACACCCCACAAUAGAAAUAUUUUCCAUUAGAGUGACUGUGAUUAGAGGAGCCAUAGACACCGUUCACUCGAUCGAAUCGAAAGAGACUUCCUAGCUACCUAAUUCUCACCUGAAUAUCAUCAUCAUCAUCAGAGAGAGUCAGGUGAAAUUCUAUGUACAAAAUGACCAAAAUAUAGAGGAGGGAUAGAGUAUGAAUAUUUAUGGAACAUAUGUAGUUAGCUCCUUAUUAAGAUCUUCUUUUAAUUGGCACAUAAAUGUUAGAAUGGAUGGCUUUUCGUUGAAAGGUUGUCACAGUACUCCGGAGUUAGUUUUGUAAUCCUACCCUAGAUGUAUGUUAUAGAACAACUGACGCACACCGACCGUCCCGAGAGCAAGUGGCAAAGGACUUGAUGGUUGGUACCCGAGAUCCAAAUUCGAAUCCUAGUUGAUUCACAUUUCCAGCUAAGUUUAUUUUUAAAUAAAAUAAACGAAGCGGUACUCACGCAGAUCUAAGCCACGUUGAGAAGAAAGAGUACAAAGAAGAUAAUUUUUUGAAAAGUGGAAAAUAUUAUCGAUCAAAACUCAAAAACUACUUAUAUAAACUGAAAUCCUUCUCUAAACUCUCUCUGAAUCUAAGUUGACUGAACAUAAACUUAACUCAAAAUAGAUAAAGACAAAGUAUAAAAUUAUAAAUUCGCAGGACUAAAAUAUUGAAUUUGAAUGCCAAACUAUGCCGGAACUGCAAAACAGUUCAACGCGUAAAUCUCGAAAAGUUGUUUCUAAAAUGGAGCUGCAUGCUAAGAAUUACUAAACACAUAUUCGGAAAAUUUAUGACCGUUUACAAAACUUUUCAAACCAUUUGUAAAAUUUACCGAGCUCAAUAAAAUUUUCGACCCAACUUGGUUAAAUUAAGCUUCUUUGUAAAUUCUAACGAAAAAUUGACCACAUCAACAACUCAAUGUGAUGAAAUGGUAACAAGCUUCUCAGUCCAAAAAAAAGUAAAAAAAAGGUUUCAAACUAGCCGUCAUGCCGCGGCAAGUAGUGAUCUAAGCUAACUUUUAGUAAUUCUAUUAGUAGUUCAAGUAUUUGGGAUAAGACUUGGCAAGCUAGCUAUGAGAUGUUCAUUAUUUGAGUGUAAGAAUUUGGAGUGCUAAGAUAUUGGCGAGUGUCGAAUCAAGAAUAAAAAUUGAAACGAAGAAUAAGAAUAUGCGUAUGUAGCGUAAUCGGCUAAGGGCUUGACUGGUAUCCGAAUAUUACUAAAAGUACUGUGAUCUAACAAUUGGAGACUCUUAUCUGCCGUAUUUAGCGUAGUUAGCUAAUUAAAGGUUUGAUAAUUGGUAUCUGCAAUCGAAAGUUCGAAUCUUAAUUGUUUCACAUUUCUAGUUUAAUCCAUUUCUUACAAAAAACUAAAUGAAGGAGAUAGCUUAUUAAUUAUCUUUCUCUCAAAGCAAAAAAAAUGAUUGAAGACUCCUAUUAAUUCGGAUAAAAUAUAUUUAGAGCUAGAUAAACAUAAGUCAAAUAGUGCUAACUUUCAAAUAUAUAUGUAUAAUGCAUGUUCCUAAGUUUUAGUAUCUGUCCUAUAUAUAUAUAACUAUUUUUAUUUGUCCAUUAUAAAUUUACUCGAUUUUUAUGUUCUUCCUUGUACAGUACUCCUUUGACAGAUAAAUUUGGUGACCACAAGUUGAUGGAUCCCCACUUGACUCCAAAACCCUGCAUUCGUAAGACAUGAGACCUUAUCUUGGAAUUAUGUAACCACCAAAAAAUGAAAGAGAUUUUGUCACAAAGUUACCUACUAAUUAAUGCCUUGCUUUUCCUAUGUCAACAAAGUUAUUUGUUUUCUUUCUUUCUUUUUUUUAGAGAGAAAGAGAAAGGUAGUAUGUUAUUCAAUUUUAGAAAUAUAAAGCAACAAAUCUUCGAAUUUGAAACUUUUGAUACCAACCAUCUAGCCAUUUGCUACUUCCGUUAGAGAUGGUCAGUUCAAUAAAGUUCUUUGUUUGGUGGUGCAUGUUGUAGUUUGAAUGCAACUACUGGAAUAUUAAUUUGUCUCCAACUUUUUUGCCGUAGUGAUUAAGAUGUAAAGCUUUUAUGGACAUAUCUAACUAUCAAUAUCCAAGAUCGAAACCGACCGCCUCUAAAGCAAGUGGCAAAGGACUUGGUGGUUGGUAUCCGAGACUCAAGUUCGAAUCCUAAUUGAUUCACAUUUUCAGCUAAGUUUAUUUCUAAAUGAAAUAAAAUGAAACGGGUAGCGUGCUACCUAGCUAGCUAUCUCUCAAAAAAAAAAUCCAAGAUCAAACUCCUGAUUCUAAAAGAGAAAAAC
rnacentral:lncRNA from 1 species